rnacentral:lncRNA from 1 species
GAGAUAAAGAGAUAUCGCCAAUGUCGAAGACGACAAAUGAGAUAUUUUUGAGGAAUAAUGAGUAUAUGAAUUAGAUUUAGUUUUGUCGAUAAAUUUAAUGUAUAUUUAGGUUAUCUAGUGGCUUAUUGGGCUCAUGUAUUGACAGUUAAAUAUUGAUUAUAUAGCGUGUCGGUGAUGGUUUUGGGUAUUGUUACGGUGAUGGUGUGGUUACUACAUAACUCAUGACCUAACCUUACACGUUUUUAGCGGUUAACGGUUAUAACCGUAACCUCAAAAUACCCAAUUAAUAUGGUUAAUAACCGUCAAACUCGGUAAGGUUACAGUCAGUUAAACGAUUAAGCGGUUGGAAUUGCCAAACCCACUCUUAGCAAGAGGUGACCCUAUCAAAAUCAGCUAGUAGGUUUUUGGGGAGGGUGAACGCCCCCUGAUCUCCCCUCUCCGUCGUCGUUCUUCCCCUUUCAAAACCCGGUGGCGGCCCUCUUUCUUCGCUGUUUCCGCCGUCCCUUGUGGCUCCCCCGGGCCCUCUCCUCCCCUUCUCUCUGGCUCUCGUCAAAGUCCCUUGGCUGAAACUCGAGCUCAUAAUGGUUCAGAUGCUCGCCGGCCUGCGAAAUUCCAUUGGUAGUUCAUAGAUUUGAACCCAACAGUCUCAUUUGUCGAGAUCGAGGCUUGUCGGUUUUCCGAUGCCGUCCUAUUGCUUGAGGUUGAAGAAGGUGUCGGAUACUCUCCACGGUCUACCGUUCCAGGCGGUGUCUCUAUCCUCCACCAAUUUGAAGUUGAGCGCAAAGGUGUUGCGUGCCCCUGUCUCGCUGAUUUCUAGCCCUCGUGCUUCCGGCCACGUUGCCGUCAAGAUGGUGUGAAUCACCUGCUUGGAUUAGUUCUUUGUUGAGAACAUUUCCGCGACAAGCACCUAGAGUCCUCCAGCUCCGAUCACAGGGAUAAGAUCGGUCGGUGUCCCUCUAAGUACAGGUUUCUCACAGCUCCAUUCGCGGGUCAUCUUCACCAGCUCGGACAGAUCCAUUCUCUGAUUGGAUAGGUAUGUGGGUAGUUUGUUGACUGUUUGGUCUCUGUUUUGGUAUGAUUUGUGUUUGUAAGUGCUGGUGCUUGUGGUUGGUAGAGUGGGAGGGAGGAUAGGUUUAAGUAUGAGAAUCAGGGGAGGAGUUUGGUGAUGUUGCAAUUACUCCAUUGUGAGCUUUUACUUUUCCGUAGGUAACUGACUCUCCUAUCUGCAUCCUAGCUUUGCCUUUGGGUCUGCUCUGUGUUUUCUUUUCGUUCCAGAGGUAAACGUCAAUAUGAGGGAUAUUGAGGUUGAAGGUAUUCCGCUUGAUGAGUUGUCCUUCCUCUUUCAUGUUUCUGCUCACAAUAGAUUUGGGGCUUUUUAAUGACAAACGAUGGAUUCCCUUCUUCCGUUUAUGUUUAUUGGGUGAAAGUGUUUAAUAAUGGAUAUUGGCUUCUUUCUUCCAACGGUGGUUGUACCCACAGACUUGCAGGUAUUAAAUGGGGGAGCGGUAGUAGUGCUUUUAUGGCACCGUGUCCAGAGCAUCUCCGUCACUUUCUGGGGUGUCUUGCCGGUGGAUUCACAAACAGUCAGGAUUAGGGUGGAUUCACAAGGAAUCAAAGCGGAUCCAUUGGGAUCAAGGCGGACUCUGGCGGAGUCAAGACGGAGGCUAUGUAGGCGGUUAAAGCAUAGGGAGAGAAAACAAAAAGUUUUUCUUUCCGACUGUUGGGGCUGAUUCAGUUGCCGUUAAUGAACUUAUAAUUCCAUCGUCCAACUACCUAACUUUACCUGAAUUUUAUCACAUGUUUUGUCUAUUGCCAAGAAAAAAUUAUCCGAUAUUAAUGAAUAAUAUAAAUAUCAAUCAAAAUUCUCUUAUAAUAAUUAAUUUAUUGGAAUGUAAUGUACGGUUCUUGACAUGAUAUCGGAGUUUUACAUGAUCGAGGGGUUUUUUAUUUCGAAUUUCGGUAACCCCCACAUGCAUGC